GGCAGUCGGCGUGAGUUUAGGACCAUGAGCUGGAUUCCAUUUAAGAUCGGGCAGCCCAAGAAACAGAUUGUUUCCAAAACAGUGGAGAGAGACUUUGAAAGGGAGUAUGGAAAACUGCAGCAGUGAGUGUCAAACUCCAGAAGGGCUGGAAGAGCAGACCAAGCGCCUGCAGAAGGACAUGAAGAAAAGCACCGAUGCCGACCUGGCCAUGUCCAAAUCUGCUGUGAAGAUAUCCCUGGACCUCCUCUCCAACCCGCUGUGUGAGCAGGAUCAGGACUUUCUGCGCAUGGUGACAGCCCUAGACACAGCCAUGAAGCGGAUGGAUGCUUUCAACCAGGAGAAGGUGAACCAGAUCCAGAAGACGGUGAUUGAACCCCUGAAAAAGUUCGGCAGCAUAUUCCCAAGCCUUAACAUGGCAGUGAAGCGACGGGAGCAGGCCUUGCAGGACUACGGCAGGCUGCAGGCCAAGGUGGAGAAGUACGAGGAAAAGGAGAAAACUGGUCCCGUGCUGGCCAAGCUCCACCAGGCCCGGGAAGAGCUACGGCCUGUACGGGAAGACUUUGAGGCUAAGAACAAACAACUCCUGGAUGAGAUGCCACGAUUCUAUAACAGCCGACUUGACUAUUUCCAGCCCAGCUUUGAGUCCCUGAUCCGGGCACAGGUUAUCUACUACUCGGAAAUGCAUAAGAUCUUUGGAGACCUGACCCAGCAGCUUGACCAGCCAGGCCAUUCGGAUGAGCAUCGAGA
rnacentral:lncRNA from 1 species